ensembl:lncRNA
GAAAAGACAGGAGAUUCCAGUCCUUCUGCAGAGGCUUUCUCCAAGCCCCCAGUACACUCAGCACCUCCCCCAGCCCUUGGUGGCUGGGGACCUGGCCUGGCUCUUGGGCAGCUGCUGGCAGCAAGGAGCAGAGACAUUUAGCCUUCAGCGGGGCCCGGGGCCAGACUUCGACCAAGAGGACAUCAGAGGACAUAGCCUCAGAGAGACCAAGCCCCAGACAGCCUGAGACAGACCAACUGAAACACAGCGCCAGGCCCGUGGAAGGAGAAAAGGAAAUGGAGGAUGAGAAUAAGCAGAAAAAAGGGAAGAAUUAAAGAAAAGAAGGAAAGCAAGAGGAAAAGAGAUAGGAGAGCAGGGAAAGGAAGGCAUGCAGAGACCAAGGAGGAGGAAGGGCAGCAAUACGCAGGAAGGACGCAACGGGGCAGGGCUUGAGCUGGUGCUGGCGGAGCAGAGCAGCCGUGGCAUUGUGCAGUCUGCUUGCUUGCUGGGCCUUUGCCGAGGGACCAGCUCUGGGGCGCGGCAGCCACUUCUGUCUGGACACAAAGGAGGAAGAGGCCUCCUUUCCUGUCCCUCUUGGGGACCUGGCUCUGGUGGGUAUACUAGGCCUCUGGGACACAGAAUCCUACAUUGGCCCAAGCAACCGCCUAGGCAGCAGGGGACUGAACAUGCUCUAGUCAAGAAGCAGCGAAGAAACAGAAGAGGAAAGAGGUUUUUUGCGUCUUUACCAGGUUACAGGGCCUGUCUGCCUCAAUCUCAGCUUCCCUAGAGGAAAGAGUCCUUAAGGAUCCUCUCCUAUGGGCCUCUGCUAUUUGGGAGAGCCCCUCCAAUAGACUUGGUGGCUGUAAAGAGAUGUCUCUUCUCUCCUAUCCCCUUUGAACACGGCCUUCUUUUCAACUCCUGAGCUCCCUGUGAACCAGGCCUGCUACCCUGCGGAGGCACAGCAGCCAGGCUGUCAGGAUCACUGUCCAGGGAUCCCUGUUGCCAUCAAAUCCUCCAGGAAACAAACCAAGAGGGAAUUGCAGCCUUCCCUUCCUUUUGGAAGCAGGAACUCUGGACUCUCCCCACUCAGGCACAGGCACAGCUGUGGAUCAUGAAGCAGGCCUUGUCCACAGAGCCCUCCUGGCCAAUGCCUCAUUUCCCCCAUGCCUCACAGAGAGGGGCAGCUGUGAGGAGGGGGCCUUACAGAGCCUGGGAGACCCCUGGAGAGCCUGGUCCACUAGGCCCAGGUCCUACAGGUUCCAGAACUGCAUGUGGGCUGUAGCCUCCAUUCUCCACAUUUGAAAGCAGAAUGGCAGGUCAGGGGUCUGAAGCAGGCUUUCAGGCUUCCCCUAAAUCCAGGCUUGUUAGGUGUGGGAGCAAAAGGAUGGGGGGGCAAAAGGGAGAAUCUCAUCUUCUUGGAGUUCAGUUACUCCUGCUGGAUCUCCUACCAUACUCCAGGACUCAUCUUCACCACUUCUUCAAUUUUCCUUAGCACUCCUGGGGAACCUGAGGGACCUGAGGCGCUGGGAGUCCCUGUUGGGAGGCGGGGAAACUCCAGCUCUGGCUAGCAGCUCUGUACUGCUCUGCUUCUUAGCGGUCCCCUCCCACGCCCAGAGGAUUUCACUGGGCACCGGAGAGUCCGCUAAGGGGGAGUGGCACCUUUCCUGCAUCACCUCAAACCUGGACAGCUGAGACCACAAUCAAGCUAGCAUCGCGGGAAGGACAGACAGAAAGACAGCAGGCUAUCCCAGCGGCCGAAGGCUGAGAGCCCAGCCCAUCCCGGUUCCCCAACACCCGCCCUGGGCGGAGAAGGCCGUGCUCCAUUUGCUUUCAUUUUCCUUCUCCCCCUGAAAUGGGCUCAUUUCACCUCUCCGUUGCCCUCUCCCCCUCCCUGCCCCCUCCCUGAUUCCCUUCUCCUUUCCCCCUUCUCUCUGGAUCCCUCUUUGUUGGGAAAAACACACCACACGCAACUCCUCCUAGUUAAGGCCUGCGCUGGAAGCAGAAACUGAGUUUUCCUGCCCUGCCGCGAGAAGACCCACGUCCUGCCCCCACCCCAGGUGGGUAUCCCGGAUCCCUGCACACUAGGAGUCAGGCCCCCAAACCCAGCAGGAGUGAAACCCCCUGGGCCUGUGAACGUGGCCCUCUCAACGCCACGGCCUGCCGGGCCUGCCUUUCCGCCGGAGCCCCCGCCCUGCCGCUCCGCAGCAAACGGGGCUAUUUCCGGCUCCCCCAACACGGUCUGGUUUCCCAGCCCGGGGAGUGGCUGAAGGGGGAGCCGCCCCAGAGCUAGGGCUGCUCUCUCCCCGGAGUUUCAAUGGCCCUGAGCACGCUGUUACCUGAUCUUUUGUGUGAUGUAUGUGUCGCAAGGAAAUUUGCAGUGACUUUGGAGCCCAGACUGAGGAAGCCGAGGUGGCGAAAGGAGAGACAAUACGGUCCCGAAGUACAAUUAAGGAGCCAGAGCUGCUCCUCUCUCCCCCGCCCUCCUUGCCAGACUGCGAGCUGUCUGGUCUCCAACCUCUGGGCGACUCGCGAACCUGGAGCCAGAAACUCAGCCCGAGGCGGAGGGCGCCAGAGGACUCCGCACCCAGAAAACCAGGAGGGAAGCUGCCUUCCAACCUGGGGGGCACCGUAACCAGCCCCGCUGAGAUGCAGCGAAUCCAAUGAAUGAAUGUGCACAUUCCGACGACGAAUUUUCCCGAAUUUUCUCAGCCUUUGGAAGGAGAGCCCAGGGUUUGGGACAUCUCAGACAGACAGUCAGACAGACAGGCAAACCGCAUCUCCUGAGGCAGACAGGCUCACAACAUGAGUGUGAGCCUGAAAUCAUAUACAGGUUCAACAUUCCCGAGGCCUCUUUGCCCGGCCUGGCGGGCGCCGAUCUCUCCUACCUUCACUCCUGCCAGGGCCUCAGGCAGAGACCCAUAGGACUCGGUCCCGCUGGCUCGGUCCAGGUCCCGCCUCGGGAAGCGCCUUCGUUACCUGCUCCUCGGCUCCCCACGGCCACAGAUGCAGGGCAGCCGCCUCCGCCCGGGGAGGGAAGCCCUGGCCACCACCGCAGCCGCCGCCACCCGCCCUCCUUCCCUCCCUCCCUCCUUCUUGCCCUCCCUCCCUCGCUCCCUCCCUCGCGCGCUGCCGCUUGCGGGGCCCUCCCGCGGGCAACCUGCUCUGGACCAAAUCCAGGUAUCUCCAAAAGAGAGAAAAAAAGAGAGGACUUCUUAGGUGGAAAAGGACAAAAACAAAAAAGAAAGACCUUUCAUUGCAUUUAUUUUUCAUGCUCUGACCAGUGGUCGGCCUCAGUUCAAAUGUCUGGGACACAGCCCAGCAACCGCAGAGGUGUGCAGGGCCUGCUGCCUCACCCACGCCGCCGACCGCCCCGCGCCCUGCGCGCUGCACGCUCCACAAGCUGGGCCGCCGCCCCCAGCAUUCCAAACACCCAACAGACCUCAAGGUCCAUCCUACAGACUCAACAUCCGGUUGCCCGCCUCUGCGCUGACCACAACCCUGGAGCCCUCUGCUCCGUCUGGGGGCAAAGUCGACACACAAAGCACCUUGUCUGUGCUCUGGAGCCCAGCCUGGACCCCCUCUGGGUGAAGCCGCCCGCCGGGCUACACUUGGGCUGCGUUCCUGCUGGGGACUUCCAACCUCAUCCCCUGCUUGGGACCUACACAAAGCCCAGUGCUCUGGCCUUUCCUACCCAUAGCCUCCCUUCGCCAGUUGUCGCCUUCCCCUUCACCUGUUCCCAAGAAGGGCUUCAUCUCCAAGCGAGCAGAGCCAAGGCCGAUGGCCGGAGCGAGGUCCCAGGGAGGCCACAGCGGAUCAGCCGGGCUAAGCUGGAGGCCCUGCAGCCGCUGAGAUAUCUGAGAGACCAAGCCUCUCCUUGGCGAGCUCUAGGCUUUUCCUCCUUCUCCUGCAAGUCUCAAACACUCACACGCCGCCGAGAGUUCAGCUCUAUAAAUCCUGCUCCUCUUUCCCAUAUCAUAAUUAAAAAAAACCAGUAGGGGAGGUUUUAACUUUUAUUGCGAUUUCUAGAGUUGGGCUGCGGAGCAUAUAUUAAGUUUACGCUUAUGCGCUCCCGGCGGGGAGGGUCCUUUAAGAAAUAAAAAUCCAUCUUAAUAUCUGC